ACGGGUGAGUAACACGUGAGCAAUCUGCCCCUGACUCUGGGAUAAGCGCUGGAAACGGCGUCUAAUACCGGAUACGAGCUGCGACCGCAUGGUCAGUAGCUGGAAAGAAUUUCGGUCAGGGAUGAGCUCGCGGCCUAUCAGCUUGUUGGUGAGGUAAUGGCUCACCAAGGCGUCGACGGGUAGCCGGCCUGAGAGGGUGACCGGCCACACUGGGACUGAGACACGGCCCAGACUCCUACGGGAGGCAGCAGUGGGGAAUAUUGCACAAUGGGCGAAAGCCUGAUGCAGCAACGCCGCGUGAGGGAUGACGGCCUUCGGGUUGUAAACCUCUUUUAGCAGGGAAGAAGCGAAAGUGACGGUACCUGCAGAAAAAGCGCCGGCUAACUACGUGCCAGCCGCC
rnacentral:rRNA from 1 species